UACAGAGGUCUCAAGCGUUGUUCGGAUUCAUUGGGCGUAAGGGUGCGUAGGCGGCGCGGUAAGUCGGGGUGUGAAAUCUCGGAGCUUAACUCCGAAACUGCAUUCGAUACUGCCGUGCUUGAGGACUGGAGAGGAGACUGGAAUUUACGGUGUAGCGGUGAAAUGCGUAGAGAUCGUAAGGAAGACCAGUGGCGAAGGCGGGUCUCUGGACAGUUCCUGACACUGAGGCACGAAGGCCAGGGGAGCAAACGGG
rnacentral:rRNA from 1 species